CUAUAUAAACUGCUUCCAGACACGGUUCGGCCUUUCUGUCCGUGUGUGGAGAGGAUGACAAUGUGGCAGAGAAGUUGUGAAGAUUAAAACCAGAACGGGAUUUUUGCCUCGUGUGAUCCAUGUCUGUGCAAAACAAUGCGAACCUUUGAUCGGGUUUUUGUUUCCGUUGUGAGCUGAAAGGAAAUCGUGCCAUGUGCGGCGGUUCCGUGACCCGAGCACGUGGGUUGGCUAGGAUACGAGUAAUGGAGGACGAUCAAAGUGGGGUUGGCGGAUGAUCGGUUCCUUCAAACCACUUGCGAAUCAAAAGAUGGACCACAACAAUCCCGAGAGUCGCGAAGAAGCUUGAUGCUGAGUUAGCAGUUAUAUGCUAAUGACGGGCAAUCGGAGCAAUACGCCCAUCGACCAAGUGGCUCACUGCAGGUAAUCUACUCCUGUUCACUGGCGUGUUAUUUGAGGUGUGCUGUUAAUGAAGGCUAAAGCUUAAUGGAUCAAGUCAUUCUAAUGAUCCAGCAAAAGUUAUUUUUAUUUUUUUUUUAUCUGGUUUAUUUUACCUGUAAAUGUUUGUUCCUGAUGUAGGACAUUUCAAUGUAUUAUCUGUAUAUUAAAUAAAGACCUAAUGGUGCAAACAUUUAAA